AUUGAACACUGGCGGCAUGCCUAACACAUGCCAGUCGAACGGCAGCAUGGUGAAAUGCUUGCAUUUCACUGAUGGCGAGUGGCGGACGGGUGAGUAACGCGUAGGAAUCUGCCCUUAAGAUUGGGACAACCCGGGGAAACUCGGGCUAAUACCGAAUAGACACUCUACGGAGGAAAGCUGGGGACCGAAAGGCCUGGCGCUUGAGGAGGAGCCUGCGUCCGAUUAGCUAGUUGGUACGGUAAGAGCCUACCAAGGGGACGAUCGGUAGCUGGUUUGAGAGAAUGACCAGCCACACUGGGACUGAGAGACGGCCCAGACUCCUACGGGAGGCAGCAGUGGGGAAUAUUGGACAAUGGGCGAAAGCCUGAUCCAGCAAUGCCGCGUGUGUGAAGAAGGCCUGAGGGUUGUAAAGCACUUUUAGUGGUGAGGAGAGGCGAGAGUUUAAGAGAUACUUGCUGAGACGUUAACCAAAGAAAAAGCACCGGCUAACUCCGUGCCAGCAGCCGCCGUAAAAC
rnacentral:rRNA from 1 species